rfam:Canis lupus familiaris chromosome 29, whole genome shotgun sequence.
GUGGGCUACGGUGACAUUUACCCCAAGACACUACUAGGGAAAAUCGUGGGAGGCCUCUGCUGCAUUGCCGGGGUUCUGGUGAUUGCCCUUCCCAUCCCGAUCAUCGUGAAUAAU